AGCAAUGGACCAUUCCACACUGGCUCGCCAAGCUGCAUUGUACAAAUAACAAGAUUGAUAAUAUGCUUCUGGCUUUGUUCUUGGGCCCCUGAGUUUUGGUUGCCAUAGCCAGUUCCAUAGCAGAGUAUGCAUACAUGGACAGCCUCCCGCAAAAGCCUUAGAGCCUGAGACUCAAGUGGGCUUCUGUGGGCAGAGACAUUCCAUACAUGUCUAUAGUUUGCUGAGAAAGAGAGAGAGGGGGAGAGAGGGAGAAAAAUUCCUGUGUAGUUAUAGAAAAGGACAACAGAAUCCUAUGUUGGACCUCUCUGGACUCCACUGAUACAUCUUUUUUUUUUUUUUUUUUUUGAGACGGAGUUUCGCUCUUGUUACCCAGGCUGGAGUGCAAUGGCGCGAUCUCGGCUCACCGCAACCUCCGCCUCCUGGGUUCAGGCAAUUCUCCUGCCUCAGCCUACCAAGUAGCUGGGAUUACAGGCACGCGCCACCAUGCCCAGCUAAUUUUUUGUAUUUUUAGUAGAGACGGGGUUUCACCAUGUUGACCCGGAUGGUCUCGAUCUCUUGACCUCGUGAUCCACCCGCCUCAGCCUCCCAAAGUGCUGGGAUUACAGGUGUGAGCCACCGUGCCCGGCCCUGAUACAUCUUUUCAUGUCGCUUUUGCUCUGUAUCCUUUGCUGUCAUAAAUCUUAGCCAUGCAUUACUAUAAAACCUGCCAUUGAGUCUUGUGAGGCCUUCGGGGACCACCAACGGAAACAACCACAUACCUCGUUCUCAAGAGAUUUAAAACCCAAUUUGUUUAUCUGAGUCUUGAUAGGAUUCACUAGAAGAGAAUAAUCAACAUGUGAGUAUCUGCUGCGUGGGGGUUUAAACGAAAUGAAGGCUUCGGUCUUUGUCCAUAAGACAUCUACCGUCUUUAUAGGGACAUGACACAUGUUAGGGAAGUGCUUAUGGGUUAUGAGUAUAAAUAAAGGCAAAUUGGCAAUGAUGGCAGAAUGAAAGAGGUUCAAUUGUAAAAGCCCAGCAAGGGUAAUGAAACACGGUGGGUAUUUAAGGAGGGACACAGGACUGCAUUAUCAAAUGAUAGCCAUACUUUUUCCCCAUAUGUACUUUAGCAGUAUGUAAAAACUAUAAAAUGGCUGGGCGCGGUGGCUCAAGCCUGUAAUCCCAGCACUUUGGGAGGCCGAGGCGGGUGGAUCAUGAGGUCAACAGAUCGAGACCAUCCUGGUCAACAUGGUGAAACCCCGUCUCUACUAAAAUUACAAAAAAUUAGCUGGGCACGGUGGUGCGUGCCUGUAAUCCCAGCUGCUCAGGAGGCUGAGGCAGGAGAAUUGCCUGAACCCAGGAGGCGGAGGUUGCGGUGAGCCGAGAUCGCGCCAUUGCACUCCAGCCUGGGUAGCAAGAGCGAAACUCCGUCUCAAAAAAAAAAAAAAAAAACUAUAAAAUAAAAAAACCUUUUUCCAUAGAUUUUAUCCAAUAUAUUCCAAGCUCAAGUUUGAUGAAUUAUUUGUAUGGAAUCAAAAUUUGUACUAAACCAGCAUAUAAGUGUUUUAUGUAACACUUGUUAAUGAGCCUGCCAGUUCUGGCUUUCAGCUGUGAGAUAAUGUUCUCAUGUGUUAUUAUCCCAAAGACUCCACACCGGUUCCUGUUACAAUUAGUCACACCUGGUAAUUCCUUCUGCUGUGUGGUUAAGCUGCUUGUGUCCAAAGCAGUUCACCUGAACUACCCAUGUGUGGGGCAGACCCUCAGCAGCCCAGAUUAAGAGGGAACUUUGGAAGUUCUGCUUCCUGUAAUGGCCAGAUAGCUCCUAUCAGAUCAGCGUUCCUGCAAAUAACAGCUCUAAAUUCUUAACAGAAUUUAAAAAUCCACCAAAAGGCAAUGGAGAACAAGAAACAGAAGGCAAAUCCUGGACAGGAGUUUGUAGGGGGGAGACCCCAUAAGUGCCGAGGCAGGAGUCAGAAGCCUCAGCCUGUUUCCAUAUAAAUAAUGAAGAAGAAAACAACUAGAGAUACAGCUGUAAUAGUUAUUCACAGGUAAUCUUUGUUAUUCAUAGUUCUAUGCCUUUCAGGUCUGGAAGUGUGAACCUGGGGUGACCUUAAGGUCAUUCCUUUAAACCCUCUGUCACACCUCUGUAAGGGCUGCCGGAGGGUGUGCGGCAGUGCCAGAGCUGGGAAAGCACCUGCUGUUUAGCCAGCUAGGGAAGGAGACGUCCAAGAUGGCCGAGACGUCUCCUUCCUCGGGGGAUUUAGAAGAAAACUCCACUCCUCCAAGCUCUUGCGGUAGGCCUGAUGCUGUCAGGAUGGCCUGCAGCCGUCUGGGGGCUUAAUUGUCUCUAUGUGAUGCUGUGCUUCAGUGGUCAUGUUCCAUGUCUACUCUCAUGUUCCGCUUCUGCACCUGGUUUCUUUUUUCUUAGAAGAGAUAAUCAGUAAAGGUAAUAUAAAUCUUAAUGUCUUUGUUCUUUCUUGACAAGUAUGGAAAAGUGCUCCUUACCUCAUCUCGGCUAUCUGAAAGUCUUGGGCCCCUACCUAUAUGACAUGUGAUGUACUUGACCCAAUCACUGACCAUCAAUGCCACACCCUACCUACCCUGCCCCCAGCUUUGCACCAUGCCCUACCUACCCAGCCCCCAGCUUUGCACCAUGCCCUACCUACCCAGCCCCCAGCUUUGCACCACGCCCUACCUACCCAGCCCCCAGCUUUGCACCACGCCCUACCUACCCAGCCCCCAGCUUUGCACCAUGCCCUACCCACCCUGCCCCUAGCUUGUUACUCAGUAAAAGAGCGUCCAGGCACUCGGGGCCACUGCCGGACUCUGAGCUUCGGUUGGCGGGGGAUCCCUGGGCCCAGACUCUCUUCUCUUUUUUUUUUUUUUUUUGAGGCCUCACUCUAUCACCCAGUCUGGAGAACUGUGCUAAGAUCAUAGCUCACUGUAACCUUAAAAUAUUUCUUUUUUUUUUUUUUUUGAGUAGAGGUGAGGAACUAGGAUGUUGAAAAGUAAAAAAAGGAGAGAAGGAGAGGAAGAAAGAGGAAGAAAAAGAGGGAGAGAGAACAGGAAUAUUGCUUCAUUCUAAAAAUGGGUAUUAAUAAUGGCCGAUCAAUAUUUUGUGUAUUUAAAAUGGAGAACUCUAUAAAUAUUUAUUGAGUUUACUUUUUCCGGAUCUGAGUUGAAGUCCUGGAUAUCCUUAUUUUCUGUCUCGCUGAGUCUAAAUCUCAUUAUGGGUCUUAUGUAUCUGGGUAUUAAGAUCUCUUAUUGUUGCAUUGAUCCUUUUACCACUGUAUCUUUGUUGCUUUGAAAUCUAUUUUAUCAAAUGUGAGAAUUGCAACUCCUGCUUUUUGUUUAUUUAUUUAUUUUUGCUCUCCAUUUGGUUGGUAAAUUUUUCUCUAACCCUUUGUUUUGAGUCUUUGUGUAUCUUUGGAUAUACCGUUAGGUUUUGGCUGUAUCUUUUGAUUGGGGGAUUUAGUUGAUUUAAAUUUAGGGUUACUGCCAUUUGAUGUUAACUGGCUAUUUUAUCCAUUCAUUGAUGUAAACUCUUCUUUAUGUUGAUACUCUUUACUUUUUGUAUAUUUUUAGAAAGGCUCAUACUGGUUGUUCCUUUCUAUGUAUAAUGCUUCUUUCAGAAGUUCUUGUAAAGCAGGCCUGGUGGUAAUAAAAUCUCUGAGUACUUGCUUGUUCAUAAAAUAUUUUAUUUGUCCUUCAAUUGUGAAGCUUAGUUUGGCAGGAUAUGAGAUUCUAGGCUGAAAGUUCUGUUCUUUAAGUAUGUUGAAUAUUCGCCCCCACUCUCUUCUGGCUUGUAGGGUUUCCGCUGAGAGAUCUCCUGUAAGUCUAAUAGGCUUCCCUUUAUGGGUAAGCUGGCCUUUCUCUCUGGCUGCCCUUAGUAUUUUCUCCUUCGUUUCGAUCCUGGUGAAUCUAACGAUUAUGUGCCUUGGGGUUUCUCUUCUUGAGGAAUAUCUUUGUGGUGUUCUCUGUAUUACCUGGGGUUGAAUAGUGUCCUGCUUUGCUAGAUUGGGAAAAUUUUCCUGGAUAAUAUCCUGAAGAGUAUUUUCCAGCUUGGAUUCAUUCUCUCCAUCACAUUCAGGUACACCUAUCAAACGUAGAUUGGGUCUUUUCACAUAGUCCCACAUUUCUUGGAGACUUUGCUCAUUCCUUUUCAUCCUUUUUUUCUCUAUUCUUGUCUUGUCGUUUUAUUUCAUUAAGUUGGUCUUUGACCUCUGAUAUCCUUUCUUCUGCUUGAUCCAUUCUGCUAUUUAAACUUGUGCAUAUUUCACUAAGUUCUCGUGUUGUAUUUUUCAACUCCGUUAGUGCAUUUAUAUUCCUCUCUAUAUUGUCUAUUUUUUUCAGCAUUUCGUCAAACCUUUUUUCAAAGUUCUUAGUUUCUUUUCAUUGGGUUAGAACAAGUUCUUUUAAUUCCCAGAAGUUUCUUAUCAUCCACCUUCUGAAGCCUACUUCUGUUAAUGGAACACAGUCCUUUUCCAUCAGGGCUUGUUCCGUUGCUGAUGAGGAACUGCAAUCCCCUGUAGAGGGAGAGGGGGUCUGAUUUUGGGUAUGCUCGGCCUUAGGCUGGUUUUUUUCCCUUUAUUAUAAAUUUAUCCAUCUGUUGUCAACCCACUGCGCCAGCCAAAACAGCAGCGAUAAGACUGAUGGUGCUCUUCUGCCCGGGAAUCUCUGGUCUGGCUUCCUUCUUGAGUCUGCAACAAGCGGCUCUGCCUUCCCGGAGCUCCAAACACCGGUCAGUAAGGGAACCAGUCCCGUUUUCUCUGCAUGAAGAGCUGCCGCGCCAAGGCGCCGACAAAACCGCUGCACUGGCCACAAGAGUCGCGCUGGUGACCCGUGGGGCUCCUCCACUAGAAAUCUGCUGGUCCGUGAGCGACAAAAAUUCGUCUGAAAGUGUGGUGUCCUCUCGUUCUCUGAGCUUUCACUGGGAGCUACAAUCCUGAGCUGUUAGUGAUCAGCCAUCUUGGAUCAACUCUCUUCUCUUUAUCUCUGUGUCUUGUACCUUAUUUCUACAGUUUCUCAUCUCCACACGAGCAGAGAGGGGCUCAAGGGACCCUGUAGGGCUGGACCCUACAAGAGUUCACACUUGGAAGAAGGGAAUGGCAGUUCAUGAGUUUCAUAUAAAAAUGUCAUUUAGCCUUUGGGCAGGCCCUCAUCAGUACCAUGUAGAAUGACUAUAACUUUCAAACCUGCAGACUUACUGGCUUGAAGAGCCAGAGAUUGUAGUCCAGGCCAACCACAGGGUGGUGCAUGCUCUAAAGUUAAUACCAUGUAUUGCCUUAAUAUCUGGUAGAGUCAGGAGGCCCCUGAAUGGCCUAACUACAAGUUCCUGUCCAUACUCUGCUCCUUAACUCAGGGAUCAGGCACAUUUCCUGCUUAUUUCUGAGUCACAGGGUUUUGUUCCCUGACAGCUCAUGGAAUUAUUCAUCCACACCAGUCAUGUCCUGCCUCAGGAACCAGAAGUGACCUCAUCCUCUUGAUACUACAAAGCCUGUGCCUGUGGUGGUUCACUACUUCCAAGCGCAGGCUCCACCUGGACCUGCGUGAAGUGGGUGUUCUCCUCUGCUAGCCUGGCGGGAACUGAUGCUGGUGGAGGGAUGUACCCUUGACCAUCAGUCAGAAUGAAGAAGGAUGUGCACACAGCAUGAAGCAGACGAAAUGCAUUCCAGCUGUCAUGUAAAGUGGGUGCUGUGGAUUCCUGUGUUGUAAAGGAGGAAGGUCAGCAGCAGCUGCAACCACAGAAUGGGAACCUUGGAGGACAGAGUAGGAAGCAGCUCAUUUCCUCUGCGCAUUUUGGCUGUUAGACUUGUGUGUGUUUUAUUUGUUUGUUUUUUGAGAUGGAGUCUCACUCUCUCACCCAUGCUGGAGUACAGUGGUGCAGUCUUGGCUCACUGCAACCUCCACCUCCCAAGUUCAAGCAAUUCUCCUGCCUCAGCCUCCCAAGUAACUGGGAUUACAGGCACCCGCCACCAUGCUCAGCUAAUUUUUUGCAUUUUUAAUAAAGAUGGGGUUUUGCUUCCUUGACAUGUACAGAGAAAGAGAGAGAGAGAGACACAGAGAGAGAGAGAGAGAGAGAGAGAGAGAGAGAGAGAGAGAGAGAGAGAGAGAGAGAGAGAGAGAGGAGAGAGAGAGAGAGAGAGAGAGAGAAAGAAAGGAAAGAAAGAAAGGAAAGAAAAGAAAAAUGGGGUUUUACAGUGGCAUGCCCCUGUAGUCCCAGGUACUCAGGAGACUGAGGUAGGAGGGUCACUUGAGCCCAGGAGUUUGAGACCAGCCUGGCUAAUAUAGCAAGACUUCAUCUCAGAAACAAAAACAAAAUCAAAACAGAGCCAAACUAUUGACAAGAAAACAUAAAAAUAACAUGUUUAGAGUAGCCAAAGGAAAAUGACAUAUGAGGGGAACAAAGAUUUGAAAUGCCUUUGACUUCUCAUCAGAAUACAAGUGAGAUGACAUAUUUAAAGUUCUGAAAAAAAGGAAACGUCAACCCUUUGCCUGGAAAUAACCUUACAGGUGAAAUGAAAAUAUCAUGCAAUAGUGAAGGCAAGUUAAAGACAUUUUUACUUAAAACAUAGACUGUCACUAGCAGACCUGUGCUACAAGAAAUGCUAAAUGAAGUUCUUUAAACAGAGGGAAAUAAUACCGGAUGGAAACCUGGAUGUUCAGGAAGGAAGGAGGAGCCUCAGAAAGAUGCAGAAAUUGAGGCACAGAUUUAAAUAACUUGCAUUAAAUAAUACAUUUGAGAUUUCAUUCCAGGCUAGAGAGCAAUGGUGCUAUCCUGGCUCACUGCAACCUCCACCUCCCAGGUUCAAGUGAUUCUCCUGCCUCAGCCUCCUGAAUAGCUGGGAUUACAGGUUCAUCGUCUGGGGCCCUGAAGAUUAUACAGAUGAAAGAUUAACAGGAAAAAAGACAUACAAAUCUCAUUUGAUCUUAAUCUUUAUAUAUAAAGGCCUUCCUGGAAAAGAAUGGAAGAGCCAAAGAAGCAGACAGAUCUGAGAGCGUAUAUACCAUCUUCAACAAAGAACAAUAAAUUGUGGAAAAGGGUCAAGACAAAGGACAUUUUUUUAAACAGAGAUGGAGUCUUGCUAUGUUGCCCAGGUUGGCCUAGAACUUCUGGACUCAAGUGAUCCUUCCACGUCAGACUCCCAAGUAGCUGGGACUACAGGUAUAGCCACCACCUGCAGGAAAAGGGUUCUAAGCUUCUAGGGGCUGCACUCUGUAGGAUCAUAGACAUAUGGGGGAAACUAAUGGAAGUUCAGGGUUAAUUUAGUAAGGUUGGUUUGUGCAGGUCCAUCUCGGUGUCAACGUUCUGUUUUCGUCGUCAUAAAACAUCCCUGGGAGAGAUUCAUGGCAGUCCUCAUUUCUCAGGCAUUUCUGCUUUUAGUCGGAUAAGGAAAGCCCCAGGAAGGUUCUCUCUGCAUCUGUUAAUUCUCAAAUGCCUUCAGCUCGAAAUAAUUCGUAUGCCAAAGUGGCACAUCUUGGGGUAGCAUGUUCUAAUCCCCUUCCGCAUCACGUGACAGGUCAUCACUAUGUUGAUAUAUACUGCCGAAAGCGGAACCCGUUAACUUCUCAUACUGCGUCUCAGCUUGUCAUUUUACUCACUGUAAUUUUACAUGCUGGCCUAAUGAGAUUCUCCCCAAUGUGUGUCAUUUCCUUUUUUGAGCAAUUAGUCCAGCCAGUAAAUAAAUUGCUGUGAGCCUUUCCACUGAAUGUGAUUUUCUUUUCUUUCUUUCUUUCUUUUUUUUAUUUUUAUUUUUUGCAAGAGCUUUCCCUGUUUGGAAUUUCCAAUAGCCAUUUUUUUUAAAAAAUCAGCACUUUUACUAUCAAAUGGCUGUGAUUUGUAGGUAGGUGCUUUUCCAAUUUUUGGAGCCACUGCUGUAUUUGUAAGAUGACACACAACGUAUAACAGACUAGGCCAACUUGAAUUACCAGUCCACCUAAACUCACUGACAGGUAACUUCCACUGCUACUUUUUGGUACAUCCUUAAUCAUAUUAAUGCUGAAUCAUGAAAUGACUCAGAAGGUUUUAAUUAGCUUUAAUCAGAAUAAUCCACAGGCAUAAGCCUACGAAAACUGCUCUUCCUUUUAAUAUCUUUGCCUUUAAAACUGCCACUUUGAGCCAUCAGACUUUAAAAAACACCAAUAAAUAUGAGCAGAGGGCAUAACAAAUACUAGAGGAGAGAUUUGAAAGCAAAAGUUAAAAAGUAGCAAUACAGCUCACUUCUACCCUGCACAAUCAGCAGCAGGAAUAGGCAGCUGAGUCACAGUGCAUUAAAAUUCUCUUAGAGUGAAAACUUCACUCCAGUUUUCCAACUGGGAGAGCUUACUUACUGCUGU